GGGAAGCAGAGUCUAUAUUCCGUGGUCUUGAAGUUAAUUUGUCAGGGAAAGUGGCUGGGAUUCACUGGCAUUAUGGUACAGAGUCUCACCCGUCUGAGCUAACGGCUGGCUACUACAAUACAUCAAUUCGAGAUGGUUUGCUUCCAAUUGCUCGCCUGUUUGGCAGAUAUGGUUUUUCCAUGUGUUGUACAUGUUUUGAAAUGCGAGAUGCAGAAGCGCAGCAGGUGAAUCCUGACAGUAGUCCUGAA
rnacentral:misc_RNA from 1 species